GUUGUUUUGACCGCUGCAGGCUCUAUCAAAGCGAAUUCAUUAUGGAAAAUUUGUAGCAGAAGCAAAGUUUCAAGAGUCACCAAAUGAAUAUGGGGCUGCAAUUAGGAAACAAGACAAGGAGAAGUUGAUGGACAUGCUAACGUUUCGGAGCGUCGAGGAGGCGAUCAAAAGGAGAGUGGAAA